CCCUUAUCUUCUUCUUUCUUUCGAUUAUGGAAUUAGGGUUUCGAUCAUGGAAUUAGGGGUUUUUUUAAAUCUGUCUUAUUAUUAGUCUCUGGACUUUGUUCUUCAUCUCUCCGAUCCACAGAUGGCUCUGAGCGAGGGUUUAGGUACACUGUGAGAUCUUUCUGUAACAUACAUAACGAAAAGAUUGCUUGUUACGUCACUGUGAGAGGAGACAAGGCAAAUGCACCUUCUUGAGAGUGGCUUGAAAGUGAAGGAA